rnacentral:rRNA from 1 species
ACUGAGUGUUACAACUCCCAACCCUUUGUGAACUUACCAUUGUUGCUUCGGCGGCUGCUACGUGGCCGCCGGAGGACCCAAACUCUUGCUUGAUCAGUGGUUUUCUCUCUGAGUGGCAUAAGCAAAAUAAAAUUAAAACUUUCAACAACGGAUCUCUUGGUUCUGGCAUCGAUGAAGAACGCAGCGAAAUGCGAUAAGUAAUGUGAAUUGCAGAAUUCAGUGAAUCAUCGAAUCUUUGAACGCACAUUGCGCCCGCCAGUAUUCUGGCGGGCAUGCCUGUUCGAGCGUCAUUUCAACCCUCAAGCCCCUCCGGGCUUGGCGUUGGGGAUCGGCCUCCGCUCCGGCGGCCGGCCCCGAAAUCGAGUGGCGGUCCCGCCGCGGCUUCCUCUGCGUAGUAAAACACCUCGCACUGGGACGCGGCGCGGCCACGCCGUAAAUCAGACGAAUCUUUCUGAAGGUUGACCUCGGAUCAGGUAGGAAUACCCGC